rnacentral:rRNA from 1 species
AACCAGCACCUCAAGUGGUCAGGAUGAUUAUUGGGCCUAAAGCAUCCGUAGCCUGUUCUGUAAGUUUUCGGUUAAAUCUGUAAGCUCAACGUAUAGGCUGCCGGGAAUACUGCAGAGCUAGGGAGUGGGAGAGGUAGACGGUACUCGGUAGGAAGGGGUAAAAUCCUUUGAUCUAUUGAUGACCACCUGUGGCGAAGGCGGUCUACCAGAACACGUCCGACGGUGAGGGAUGAAAGCUGGGGGAGCAAACCGG